UUUGUAGAAUGAACCGGCGAGUUACGAUUUGUUGCAAGGUUAAGCGGAAAAAGCGGAGCCGUAGCGAAAGCGAGUCUGAAUAGGGCGCAUAAGUAACAGGUCGUAGACCCGAAACCAGGUGAUCUACCCAUGUCCAGGAUGAAGGUAAGGUAAUACUUACUGGAGGUCCGAACCCACGCACGUUGAAAAGUGCGGGGAUGAGGUGUGGGUAGCGGAGAAAUUCCAAUCGAACUUGGAGAUAGCUGGUUCUCUCCGAAAUAGCUUUAGGGCUAGCCUCGAGGUAAAGAGUCAUGGAGGUAGAGCACUGUUUGGACUAGGGGCCCUUCUCGGGUUACCGAAUUCAGAUAAACUCCGAAUGCCAUGUACUUAUACUCGGGAGUCAGACUGCGAGUGAUAAGAUCCGUAGUCGAAAGGGAAACAGCCCAGACCACCAGUUAAGGUCCCCAAAUAUAUGUUAAGUGGAAAAGGAUGUGGGGUUGCUUAGACAACCAGGAUGUUGGCUUAGAAGCAGCCACCAUUGAAAGAGUGCGUAAUAGCUCACUGGUCGAGUGACCCCGCGCCGAAAAUGUACCGGGGCUAAACAUAUUACCGAAACUGUGGAUGAACCUCUUUAGAGGUUCGUGGUAGGAGAGCGUUCUAAGGGCGGUGAAGUCAGACCGGAAGGACUGGUGGAGCGCUUAGAAGUGAGAAUGCCGGUAUGAGUAGCGAAAGAAGGGUGAGAAUCCCUUCCACCGAAUAUCUAAGGUUUCCUGAGGAAGGCUCGUCCGCUCAGGGUUAGUCGGGACCUAAGCCGAGGCCGAUAGGCGUAGGCG
rnacentral:rRNA from 1 species